UACGUAGGCAGCAAGCGUUGUUCGGAGUUACUGGGCGUAAAGGGUGUGUAGGCGGUUUUUUAAGUUUGGUGUGAAAUCUCCCGGCUCAACCGGGAGGGUGCGCCGAAUACUGAAUGACUAGAGUGCGGGAGAGGAAAGUGGAAUUCCUGGUGUAGCGGUGAAAUGCGUAGAUAUCAGGAGGAACACCGGUGGUGUAGACGGCUUUCUGGACCGUAACUGACGCUGAGACACGAAAGCGUGGGUAGCAAACAGG
rnacentral:rRNA from 1 species